GGUCGGGUGGCGCAAUGGUAGCGCGUUGUCUUCCGGUGACAUGACUCGUAAGAAUCAGCAAUCUGAACUGGCAAAGGCUCUGGGUUCAAAUCCCAGCUCGAUCG